rnacentral:tRNA from 1 species
GCGCUCGUAGCUCAGCAGGAUAGAGCAUCGGCCUUCUAAGCCGGCGGUCCCAGGUUCGACCCCUGGCGGGCGCGCCC